GUUUCACCAAAACCCUGUAGCUCACAGCACGCAGCGUUCGGCAGCGCUACGCUUCGAGGAGAAGAGGGCGGGCGACGGCAGCCGAUGCCGAGAGAUGAGCGCCGUCGUGCAGCGCGUCCCAUCCGCCGGCCUCGAGGUGGCGGGCCGCGUGGUGUCCGAGAUCGGCCCGGGCCUCCUCGUCCUCAGCGGCAUCAAUGAAUCGAACACCGACGCAGAUGCCGAUUACAUGUAUGCACGAAUGCCCGUUGCCUCUCAUCUUUGUUCAUCCUUAUUCCAAGAAUUUGCAUAUAGAUCAAACCUGCUGUCAUAGUUUGAAUCCAACACCGGCGCAGAUGCCGAUUACAUGUAUGCAUGAAUGCCCGUUUCCUCUCA